rnacentral:rRNA from 1 species
GACGAACGCUGGCGGCGUGCUUAACACAUGCAGGUCGAACGGAAAGGCCCUGCUUGCAGGGUACUCGAGUGGCGAACGGGUGAGUAACACGUGGGUGAUCUGCCCUGCACUUCGGGAUAAGCCUGGGAAACUGGGUCUAAUACCGGAUAGGAGCCAUUUUUAGUGUGAUGGUUGGAAAGUUUUUUCGGUGUAGGAUGAGCUCGCGGCCUAUCAGCUUGUUGGUGGGGUAAUGGCCUACCAAGGCGGCGACGGGUAGCCGGCCUGAGAGGGUGGACGGCCACAUUGGGACUGAGAUACGGCCCAGACUCCUACGGGAGGCAACAGUGGGGAAUAUUGCACAAUGGGCGCAAGCCUGAUGCAGCGACGCCGCGUGGGGGAUGACGGCCUUCGGGUUGUAAACUCCUUUCGCUAGGGACGAAGCUUUUUGUGACGGUACCUAGAUAAGAAGCACCGGCGAACUACG